UCACGGCCCCAUGGCUGUGAAUAGGUGCCUUCAGCUAAUUUUAUGAAAAGGGGCUCUUUCCAAGGCUAAGGUAGAGUAGGGCUUCCUGUAAGAGAGAGAGAGAGAGAGAGAGAGAGGGAGGGGGAAAAGAAGUGUUGCUCUUGAUGCAAUCUUUUCCUCCUCCUUCUUCUCCUCCUCCUCCUCCUCCUCCUCCUCCUCCUCCUCCUUCUCCUUCUCCUUGCGAGCCCUCUGCCUCUCCCUGCCAGCCCCGACAGAUCUCCGCACCGCGGGGGGAGAAGGACCUUUGAGAGGGGAAUGAGCUCUUCUGCACAUCCAGAUGUCUGCUGUUGUUUGUCCGGUCUCUUCCCACUGGGGGGCACAGGACUCCAUUCUCCAGCAGAUCUGUUCCAGGCAUCUCUUUAUGUCAAGGCAAAGGUUCAGUGAAACAUCAUGACUUACAUCAGCCAAAGCCUUUGAUCAGGGAGGGAAAGGUCUGACAUGGAUGGGGUUGGCAGCCACGCUGCAAGAAUCCCUCAUUGUGCAAGAAGCCAGUCCAAUGACCGACUGUCACCAAGGGCUGAUGCUUUGGACCCAGAAAGACACAAGUGGGAUGGAGAUCAGAGCCCUGGGCUUUUCCCCGCAGACCAGCAACUGGUGCCAUUUCUGGCUGAUUCUCUACUUUUCUCUUCCUAGUGAGGGUCUUUUGUUAUUUAUCAGCUCCUUUCAAAGCAACAGCCUGAGAGAUUUCACAAUACUUUUCACAUAUGGUUACUCAGCCUGGGGCUCUCCACAGCUUAGCUGUUUCAGUGAUAUUUGCACAGCACUGAGCAACAGCAUUCCUGACCUGCAGGAGAAGUGAGUGCCUCAAACCUCCUUUUCUCCAUAUACACAAGAUCUUUUUUUGCUCUUAAAAAACCCCAGACCCCUCUCCCCAUCCCUGCCAGUUGCACGGCAGACUGGAUGUCCCUGGCAGCACACUUGGGCUUGCAUCCAUUUUUCUUCUUUGUGUGUGUGUGCGUUGUCAUCCAAUGCAUGGCCAGAACCAAAGGAAAACUCAUGUGUGUGUUGUCAUCCAAUGCAUGGCCAGAACCAAAGGCAAACUCCAUUUGGGAGGUGAGCAAGGAAAACCCCUCCAAAACAGCCAGGAGCUGAAAAGAUUUGGCAAGCUUUGCAGGAGAAAACUGCCAGCAGGGAAAGACGAGGUGGAGGCAUUACUCUGACAGAAGAAGCUCUGAUUAGCAGAUUAUCACUUAAGUGAUGUUGAUCCCAGCCACGCUGCCUUCCAAAUGAGCCCUUUCACAGCUGCCAGCUGCACCACGGAGUCGUGAAUGUAAAUGAGUGGGCCAGAUCCUCUGCUGGCAUCCAUCGACGUGGCUUUGAUGGACCAUCCUGGAUCUACAACAGCCGGAGGAGUGUGGCUGUCGUGGGAGCCUGACUUGCUAUGCAGAUUUCUUUGAGAGCCUGUGGGAAAGGGCCUGAAGCUGGAUGUACUGCAGGAUAGGGCAGCAUCAACUGCACAGCUGGAGGGACCCUUGAGACUUUGACUUUUGCUGCCAAACAAAGCCAUCUUUUUGCUGAGCUUGUAAACUGUUCCCUGGUACCGUACGCCAGCAUAUAGCAUCCUGCCCUCAUAAAGCUCUACUUAUCUCCAUCCAACUUCUUGGGCUGAGCGUGUGGGAAGCAUGUGAGGGACACUCAUGAGCAGCCUUGCAUUCUCCGAGCUGUGCUUUCCCCUGGGGAAGGCAUACUUGACCUCUGGCCACGUCCAUCCAAUCUGACAGACUGGUCUUCGGAGAAUGGUGACCAAGAAUAAGCUCCAUGUCCCACAUGCCACCUGUUCAUCUGCACCGCUCCCUCUCCAGCAGCUCAUGGGCCAUGCCCAGCCUAUGUGUGACACCUCUCUGGCUGCUCAGAUGGAAAGUAAGAGCUUGGAGAGUGAGGACAGCAUGGAGUUAUGGAAGACAUGGCUACAAGAGCAUUCUUUCUCCAUCUCCAUGUGCUUCUGAAGGACCAGUCUGAUUCUGGCUCCUGCCAAGUUAGGAUAUGCUAUGAUUCUGUGAACACUUUUUGCAGCAAGUCAGCCAUAAGAAACAACAUACUCUCAGACAAUCAAGCCUCCAAAUUAAGGUGGGGAGACUUGUUGUGAAGGAGAUGGUUUUUUUUUUCCUACUGUAGAAGGGAUGUUCAAUGCUAUAGUGACAAGGAACAAUUCUUCAGCCUUAGACAGCAGAAAGAAGAAACAUAAAGAGACUGUACAGUUCUUGGGACACCGAGACAACUAUCUACGUGCUUUGUGGAAGCAGAGACAAGUAUGAGAUUUGGCUUUCUGGGCUAUGAGGGCACACAGCUGGCUCACAUCCAGCUCCCAUCCACCAUUUAGAUAAGAUACUAUUGCUUUUAAUAAAGACAAGUCAAAGAUCUUCUCCUAAGUGCUCUUAAAGAACUCCAGCAUUGUGUCUACAAUAAUCCAUCCGCCUUAAAGGAUCCAGCAGUACAUCACCACCAGUGGAUAUAAGAAGUAAUUAGUCAUCAUUUAGGGAAGUAAGAUUUAACAGUUAUUUUGUUGGCAGAAGUGCCGUGAUAAAAAUGGUACUCUGAAAGUUAUUUGGUAUUUCUCAUUGUUGCCAGAGUUCUGAACAUUUUGAUAGGAUGAACAUAGACUUCGGUAGGAAAGUUGUGGAUUUUUUCCCCUCCAUUUAGUAGAAAUAUAAAUGUUACAAAAUAAAUAAUGAUAGAAUAUAUGUGUAUAUAUUUUCAAUGCAUAUUUUAAAAUGCAUAUGAAAUGCAUUUUUUAAAAUAUUUUGUUCAAAUAUUUUUACUAAUGUUGUAUACCUUGCAUCUGUGAAGAGGGUUAUCCCUUAAACAUCCUUUCUUCAGACAGUACUGGGAUUCAUCCUCAGGCCCCGUUAUCUUGCUCUACGUUUCCUAGAGUCCAUCUAUAUAAUAAAUCAGAAUACUGCAUGGUUACACAUCGUAAUUAUUUUUUAAAAUUAUUUUUUAUUUUUUUGCUGAUUGGGGAAAUGGUGAAAACUGGUUUUUGCAUAUUUCAACAAUGUUACUCAGCCAAGUAAAAGAACAAGGGAGCAGAAUGGAAGAGAAAUGAAGAAAUGGAAGGAAGGAAGGAAGGAAGGAAGGAAGGAAGGAAGGAAG
ensembl:lncRNA